UACUUUUAGCGGUUAAUUUUAUUUUUGGACAGAACUUCCUGUGAAAUUUCAAUUUGGGUCGCCAAACCUUAAUUCUCACGAUCAGAUAAUUAAACUUUUACUUUCAAUUCGUACCCCAAUUACUAAACACAAUUUCUCAAUCAUACAUCGACGUUAAAAUUGAGGUAAAUCUGAUGUAUCUAACAUUUUAGAGUAAGUAUGCCAACAUCUAAUGUCUUACAUAGAAGAAGAUCCACCUUUUAUCGCACCUAAUAAUCAUGUCUAUUUUAUACUCUUUUCUCGAUCCCUUAAUAAAAACUAUAUAUUAAUAUUUAGAAUGUGUUGGAUUAAAUUUCUCUUUAAGUUUAGUUUGUUUUCGUUCUGCAUGACAGCAUUCCAUCUUAAAAGUGUAUUGUGAUCAAAUGAGUGAUUUGCAGCGAUAAAACAACGAUUUAGGAGCAAAUGUCAAGCCUUAAAGAUUGGAAUACAAAAGGAAGAUGAGAGAGGAAAAAAAUGAGAGGCUACAAAGUGUUUUUAUUUUUAUUAUUUUUUUAAUUUUUUUUUUAUUUUUAGGGGGAGGGGGUGGUGGAGCAUCCAACAUUAGAAGAGGGAAGCUAGGGUCGAAGUCAAAAGAAAGCCGUUUUAUGCAGAAUAUAUAAGAAAUUAGAGCAUAAUAUUUGGUACAAAGAUCUUUACAUAGUAAAUGAUAUACCAUCAAAAAGAUAAUUGAAUAAGAAGUUCAACACUUUUCGCGGAUCACGAUACUAAAAUUUUCUACAAAAAAUUAUGCGUGAUUUACUGGAUGAUAUGAUACCUAGCGAGCACAAUGGUCCUGCUUGAUUGAAGGACCUUAAUGCGACACGUGAAUUGGAUUUUGGGAGCUUAUUCGAGAUCUUUUUUGUUAGACUUCGCACGCGAUUUAGACUCCUCUUGGCCAAUCCUUUAUACACAAAUUAUGGCUGUACAGAGGAAGAUCAGUCCUUCUCCUUUUUCGUUUUUAUUUUCUGUGGUUGCAGAGUGUAAGUUUCUCGGGGAAAAAAAAAAGGCAGCUACUUAUUGUUGGGAAAGCUAAGUUGCUGAUCAAAGAAGCAUAGAUCGAUUAUUUUGUAAUACUUUAAUCAGUUAUAUUUGGAGUAGUAGUUUGUACUUUUGGCAAAUUGCUAUUAACUUUACAUUUGGUAAAUUGUAUUGGAUCGCACUGAGUAUUUUUGUUUAUUGAAAUUAUGGAAUACAUGAUCAUAUUUGCCUGA